rnacentral:rRNA from 1 species
AGAAUCAACGCUGGCGGCGUGCCUAACACAUGCAAGUCGAACGAGAAAGUGGAGCAAUCCAUGAGUAAAGUGGCGACCGGGUGAGUAACACGUGACUAACCUACCUUCGAGUGGGGGAUAACCUCGGGAAACCGAGGCUAAUACCGCAUAACAUCGCAAGAUCAAAGCAGCAAUGCGCUUGAAGAGGGGGUCGCGGCUGAUUAGCUAGUUGGCGGGUAACGGCCCACCAAGGCGAAGAUCGGUAUCCGGCCUGAGAGGGCGCACGGACACACUGGAACUGAAACACGGUCCAGACUCCUACGGGAGGCAGCAGUGGGGAAUUUUGCGCAAUGGGGGAAACCCUGACGCAGCAACGCCGCGUGGAGGAUGAAGCCCCUUGGGGCGUAAACUCCUUUCGACCAAGACGAUAAUGACGGUACUGGUGGAAGAAGCACCGGCUAACUCUGCGCCAGCAGCCGC